UUAUACGGAGUACUUUAGUAUGUCUAAAACCUCUACCAUUUUAAUAAAUAAUCCAUGACCCGAUUCACUGAAGUCUUUCGGUUACACUUUUUACAGGGAUUGGAAUCAUAACUGGUCGCUGCAAGAGGCAUGAAAGCCCUUAAAAGUGAGUCAUACUUUUUAAAAUCCCCUUUUGGAAACUCAAUCCCAAAUACCCCCUAAGUUUAUAGAAGAUAUAUAAGCUCUUGCGGUCGACAAUUUUAAGUGAGAUACAAGUGUCCAAGACUCUACAUGCUUAUUAGUUUAUGCAGCACACAUAUUUCAUUAAAUUAAUUGAUUAGCAGUCAAAGGUUCAGAUUUCACGAGUAGUGAUUUUAUCACAUGAGCAUUUCCUUUCUUGAGCUUGCUUUUCAAGGUAGCGAAGAUGGAUAGAGUGUAUUCUGUAAAGAACUCAUAAGGGUACUUUGGAGUACGUGGAAGGAAAUGGUGCACGAAGAUAUAGCUGUAGCUUUGAACAGAUGUAUGUUCUUCCACAGGAUAAUCUUCUUUCUUUCCUAUUGAUGGGAAUUUUUUCGAUCUUUCGGCUGCUAAGACAUGAAUGCAAAGUUCCAUCCUGAAGCGGAAUUCUUUUUGAAGCGCUGAGACCUUAAUUUUUUGUGGCUGUUUUCUCUACCUUAGAUGGUUUUUAUGCACAUAUGAAGUUUGCUGCAUUAGGACAUGGAGUUGUUUUUCAGCUAUUACUGUGGCUUUCUCUAACUUUAAGUGAUGUUGGCGUAGACAUAUAUGCUGGUGUAUCUCAUCAACUUUGCAGGGAUUUUGGCCUCUAAUCUGUUUGCAGUAAGAAAAGUAGGCACCAGUUGAAAGAGAUUGAAUUUGAAAAUUAGUGAAGUGUCAAAUGUCUUGUAUCGGUUACAUUUUCCUCUUAUUUAAAGGCAUACUUUUGAUUUCCCCCCUCCCUCUCUUAAGACGCCAAGACCUUGCUUUGUGGUUGAUUCCUAUCUCCGAACAUGCAAAAAUUGUUGCUGUAGGACUCAGCUCGGCGAUGUUUUUUUUUUUUUUUGGCAUUGUGUGACCUUUAAUCUUCUGAGAGUGUCUUUCUAUAAUAUGUAUGUAUCUGUAUGGCCUUGACGAAUGCCAAGCACUCUUCCUUUGAUGUAUGGAUCCUAUUUCUACAGGAAAUUGAUGAAUCAUUCUUUCA